rnacentral:rRNA from 1 species
UACGUAGGGUGCGAGCGUUUAAUCGGAAUUACUGGGCGUAAAGCGUGCGCAGGCGGUUCGUUGUGUCGGUGGUGAAAGCCCCGGGCUUAACCUGGGAAUGGCCGUCGAAACUGGCGAACUGGAGUGUGGCAGAGGGGGGUGGAAUUCCGCGUGUAGCAGUGAAAUGCGUAGAGAUGCGGAGGAACACCGAUGGCGAAGGCAGCCCCCCUGGGCUGACACUGACGCUCAGGCACGAAAGCGUGGGGAGCAAACAGG